GUUUAAAUAGUGUAAUUCAACACUUAACUUUUUCAUUGUUAUAAUCCGCCUUCGGUUUAAAUU
rnacentral:tRNA from 1 species